ensembl:lncRNA novel transcript
GUCAGCCCGGCUGGAGUGCAAUGGCGCAGUCUUGGCUCGCUGCAACAUCUACCUCCCAGGUUCAAGUGAUUCUCCUGCCUCAGCCUCCCAAGUAGCUAGGAUUACAGGCUUGCACCACCACACCUGGCUAACUUUUUGUGUUUUUAGUAGAGACGGGCUUUCCCUAUGUUGGCCAGACUGGUCUCAAACUACUGGCCUCAAGUGAUUUACCCACCUUGGCCUCCCAAAUUUCUGGGAUUACAGGCAUGAGCCACCGAGCGCAGUCCUGACUCUGCUCUUGGGAUACCUGAGAGUACUGUGUUAUAUGAAUAUCUGAUCUACCUAUGGAUUCAGCCGACCUAAAGUUGUUGAAUUCUUAAGCCACCACCCCCUUCUCACCAGGCGCUUCUUGCCGCUGCCAUGAGAAGAAGGAUGUUUGCUUCCCCCUCUGCCAUGAUUGUUAAGUUUCCUGAGGCCUCCUGAGCCAUGCUGAACUGUUUCAUUUCAACCCCAUGUUUUGGGAACUGUUUGGAACAGACUAAUCAGCUCUAAAUUCUGGAAUCUUCCACCUUCUUUAUCUUCAAAGGGAUGGUUACAUAUUCUGGCUAAGUUCUGUAUCAAGGAAACUCACAAGCUUCUGAGAAUAGAGACUUGACUUUCCAGAGUGGAACUUUGUAGAAAGAAGCUUGAUAUGGUAAUUGAAGGGCAAUGCUCCUAAAGAUAUGAACUAUUUGGGAGGCCAUUACAUUAAUGCCUUCAGCUUUCCGCACAGCCCAUAUUGCUUUGGUGGACGCUUUGAAAUGUCUGGUCGUUAUAACUCAGUCACUCAAGACACCUCACUUAAAAAUUCUAGUUAUGGAAUAAUUGUGAUGCCAUAGGAAGAAAAUUAAGCAAGCUGUCUACUCUUGGGAAAUGUUAACAAAUGCCUGUGCAUACUGUGAAGAGUCCACGGGGAAGAAAAUGAGCCACACAAGAUGGUCCCACCUAUAUUUAUUAUACACUGAUCACUAUGAAGACAUAAAGAUUUGUUAAAAGUGGCCUUUGAAGAGCAUGUAAUUGUGUCCAGAAUUGGCGGGUUCUUGGUCUCACUGACUUCAAGAAUGAAGCCGCAGACCCUCACGGUUCACAGAAAAUAGAAAUUCUUUACACAGUCUUCUGAUCAAUAGAAUCAAAGCCCUUUUUCUGUAAAUACUGGCUAGAGAGUUGCUAACUUCCAUAAUGGAGAAAUGGAAAAAGCAGUUUCUUUCUCCAAUAAAACCACAAAAGCCAUGGUUUUAAAAGAAACUAUAGAGGAUUUCUUGUGUGGAGUCCUUAGCUUUGUGACUGCUGAGAUUUAAGACAUAGGAAAUCAUGACUUCCUCGUGGCAGCCUCAUGAUUCUGAGAUCACAGCACGUGCAUUUGGUACAGCCAGCAGAGGUGGUGGUGUCUUCUCGAAUUCCUGACCUUCUUUCCAUGGCAGAAGAAGCAACCCUUUUGCUAACUGAGGUCUAUGGUGGUGUUCCUGGAAUCUCCAUCUCUAACCUAUUUACCUAAUCCUUCCAAAAAUCUUAUAUUGAAUCUUUUCAUGUUUAAAUUAUUUAGAAUGGUUUGUGGUAUCUGUAAACAC